UACAGGCUGAUGAGGGUGCACACGCGCAGUUCCAUUAACCAAAAUAUCUAGUGGUAGUAGUAAGAAAUACGAUCCAAGAAUGUGGAAUAGGUGUCGUUUUCUAUUAGAAUUUCAAGGAUUGUCGUAUCGAAUGCUGAAGUGGUAUUGAAGGGAAAGUACGCUAUUGAUUCCUCCCAGAACUUCAUGUUAACCUCUCAAAUUUAAACAGACUUCAAGAUAUCAAAGCCGCAUUACAAACAGCAAGAUUAUAAUAGCUACUCUGAAGAGAACAACUGUAGGGAAGAACGGUCCUUACUAUUGAAAACGGUUGCAUCUUUCGUCAUGAAACAUGCCUCUAGACAACACAGAGAAGGACACCUUGACAUCUUCCGCGUGAAGAAGAAUAUCUUGCUGUUCAUUGCAAAGGGAAAGAUGGUGGAAAUAUUUCGUUGGGAAAAUGAAAUGCCUGUUACAGAUUUCCUUCAAGUUUUAAUGACAAUACAAUUAAAGUGUAACAAAGUUAUCGAGUUCAUACCAUUUACAAAAUAUUACUCUGAUUACAAAUUCACUUUCAAUGGCUGACAUUUUAUAUGCAAAAGAUGAAACUCGAAUGAUUUCAAAUCCAUAUUUUCUUGCCUUUAUUCAGCACUGAGCAAAACAUAGUGCAUACUACGCUUUGAAAUACACAUACACUUUUAUCUUUCAGUCUUCUUACAAAAUGAUGUCUGUUUGACACAUGUAUUUGGUUUUAAGCACAGUUACACAGUUAUCUGCUGUGAAUCAAUUCAAAUGAUAAUUCUCAGGAAAAUUACAAUUUUAAUAUGCCUGUGCCGUGCCAACGUUUCUGGAGUUCUUCUCAUAUGGAAUAUUUUUUAAAUAGGGAAUCGUGUAAUAGUUUACUGCAACGUAAAAUUAAGCACUGAGAAGUUCAGACGGUCUAGCAGCUUUGAAUGAAACAUAGCGUUCAUAAUGAGAAUUUAUAAAUGAUUUAAUGUGCCAGUAUAUGUAGGAUGUACCAUUUCAGAUGCAACACAAACAGUAGCAUAUACAAGUAAAAGCUUGAACUUGACAUCAGCAUAACAAGACAAAUGAGUUAUUUCUCGGUUUUUGUUUUCUAUCGGCCUAUUGUCUCUACAACUUCGUGGAGUGUGUGUAUAUAUAUGAAUUAUGUCACUGUCAACACAGCAAAUAGUCAGUUAUUAUUUUCAAUAUUUAUACUGCUACAUGUUUCGGUCGCAUAAGACCAUAAUCAGGCAGUGGAGUAUACCACCUGCCGGACCUGUUCCCAGUGGUAAACGUUUGUCAUGUCCCAUUGUAUAGUUUCUUCUAAGAGUACCAGUUUACAAUGUUUCCUACAUGGUUUUCAAUGUACAUUAUGCGGAAACUAAAAAUUAAACUUCUUCACGGAGGCAGAAUACGUUACUGAAAGUUAUUCCUGUUACUGAGAUCCGCUCCAUGGGGAUGUAGCCUUUAGAUUCAAAAUUUAAUGACUAUUAGAAAAGCGGGAAGCCGUGCUCAUUAUUUGGAAUAACUUUGUUAACUUACGAACAAACGCGUAUCCAAAAUAUACACAACUGGACUGAAGGGAACUGAAUUUUGUUUUCCUGCAAAUUAAAUCACUCCGUCCAAUGUGACCUGUAAGUUUUUUACUACAUGAA